rnacentral:rRNA from 1 species
GAUGAACGCUGGCGGCGUGCCUAAUACAUGCAAGUCGAGCGAACGGACGAGAAGCUUGCUUCUCUGAUGUUAGCGGCGGACGGGUGAGUAACACGUGGAUAACCUACCUAUAAGACUGGGAUAACUUCGGGAAACCGGAGCUAAUACCGGAUAAUAUUUUGAACCGCAUGGUUCAAGAGUGAAAGACGAUCUUGCUGUCACUUAUAGAUGUAUCCGCGCUGCAUUAGCUAGUUGGUAAGGUAACGGCUUACCAAGGCAACGAUGCAUAGCCGACCUGAGAGGGGGAUCGGCCACACUGGAACUGGGACACGGUCCAGACUCCUACGGGAGGGAGCAGUAGGGAAUGUUCGGCAAUGGGGGAAAGCCUGACGGAGCAACGCCGCGUGAGUGAUGAAGGUGUUCGGAUCGUAAAACUCUGUUAUUAGGGAAAAACAUAUGUGUAAGUAACUGUGCACAUCGUGACGGUACCUAAUCAGAAAGCCACGGCUAACUACGUG